rnacentral:rRNA from 1 species
ACUCCUGCGGGAGGCAGCAGUGGGGAAUAUUGGACAAUGGGCGCAAGCCUGAUCCAGCCAUGCCACGUGAGUGAUGAAGGCCCUAGGGUUGUAAAGCUCUUUCACCGGUGAAGAUAAUGACGGUAACCGGAGAAGAAGCCCCGGCUAACUUCGUGCCAGCAGCCGCGGUAAUACGAAGGGGGCUAGCGUUGUUCGGAUUUACUGGGCGUAAAGCGCACGUAGGCGGACUAUUAAGUCAGGGGUGAAAUCCCGGGGCUCAACCCCGGAACUGCCUUUGAUACUGGUAGUCUUGAGUUCGAGAGAGGUGAGUGGAAUUCCGAGUGUAGAGGUGAAAUUCGUAGAUAUUCGGAGGAACACCAGUGGCGAAGGCGGCUCACUGGCUCGAUACUGACGCUGAGGUGCGAAAGCGUGGGGAGCAAACAGGAUUAGAAACCCCAGUAGUCCC